UCCCUGAUGGUCCAGUGACUAAGACUCCGCAUUCUCAAUGCCCGGGGGCCCAGGUUCAAUCCCUGGUCAAGGGA
rnacentral:tRNA from 1 species